ACGAACGCUGGCGGCGUGCUUAACACCUGCAAGUCGAACGGUGAAGCGCUUGCCUUUUUGGUGGGUGUGGAUGAGUGGCGAACGGGUGAGUAACACGCGAGUGACCUGCCCUCUUCUUCUGGAUAACCUCAUGAAAGUGGGGCUAAUGCGGGGUAUUCCGGGUCUGUCGCAUGGCGGGUUUGGGAAAGAUUGCGCCUUUGGGUGUUUUCGGUGGGGGAUGGGCUCGCGGCCUAUCAGCUUGUUGGUGGGGUGAUGGCCUACCAAGGCGGUGACGGGUAGCCGGCCUGAGAGGGUGGGCGGCCACACUGGGACUGAGACACGGCCCAGACUCCUGCGGGAGGCAGCAGUGGGGAAUAUUGCACAAUGGGCGCAAGCCUGAUGCAGCGACGCCGCGUGAGGGAUGGAGGCCUUCGGGUUGUGAACCUCUUUCGCCAGUGAAGCAGGCCUGCUCCUGUGUGGGUGGGUUGACGGUAGCUGGAUAAGAAGCGCCGGCUAACUACGUG
rnacentral:rRNA from 1 species